GUGGGGAAUUUUGGACAAUGGGCGCAAGCCUGAUCCAGCAAUGCCGCGUGCAGGAAGAAGGCCUUCGGGUUGUAAACUGCUUUUGUACGGAACGAAACGGUCCGGGUUAAUACCCUGGGCUAAUGACGGUACCGUAAGAAUAAGCACCGGCUAACUACGUGCCAGCAGCCGCGGUAAUACGUAGGGUGCAAGCGUUAAUCGGAAUUACUGGGCGUAAAGCGUGUGCAGGCGGUUUUGUAAGACAGGCGUGAAAUCCCCGGGCUCAACCUGGGAAUUGCGCUUGUGACUGCAAGGCUGGAGUGCGGCAGAGGGGGAUGGAAUUCCGCGUGUAGCAGUGAAAUGCGUAGAUAUGCGGAGGAACACCGAUGGCGAAGGCAAUCCCCUGGGCCUGCACUGACGCUCAUGCACGAAAGCGUGGGGAGCAAACAGGAUUAGAAACCCCGGUAGUCC
rnacentral:rRNA from 1 species